AGAGUUUGAUCCUGGCUCAGGGUGAACGCUAGUAGUAUGCUUAACACAUGCGAGUCGAACGAAGAUUUCAUCUUAGUGGCGUACGGGUGAGUAAUGCUUAGGAAUCUACCUUUUAGUUCAGAUUUAAAUCCUGAAAAAGAAAUAUUUUCGCUAAAAGAUGAGCCUGUGAAGGAUUAGGUAGUUGGUGCGGGUAAAAGCCUACCAAGCCUCUGAUCCUUAGCUGUUCUGAGAGGAAGUACAGCCACACUGGGACUGAGACAAGGCCCAGGCUCCAUUUGGAGCCAGCAGUGAGGAAUUUUGGACAAUGAGCGAAAGCUUGAUCCAGCAAUACUACAUGAGUGAUGAAGGCUUUCAAGUUGUAAAACUCUUUGGUUGAGGAGGAUAAUGACAGUACUCAACAAAAUAGCCCCGGCUAACUUCGUGCCAGCAGCCGCGGUAAGACGAAGGGGGCGAGCGUUAUCCGGAAUGACUGGGCGUAAAGGGUCCGUAGGCAGCAUUUUUUGUUAAUUGUGAAAGAAAAAAGCCCAACUUUUUUUAGCUUUUAAUACAUUAAUGCUUAGAGUUUGAGAGGGGAUAGCAGAAUUUCACAUGGAGGGGUGAUAUCCGUAGAUAUGUGAAGGAAUACCAGAGGCGAAGGCGGCUAUCUAGCUCAAUACUGACGUUGAGGGACGAAAGCAUGGGGAGCAGACAGGAUUAGAUACCCUGGUAGUCC
rnacentral:rRNA from 1 species